UACUGCACAAUGGGCGAAAGCCUGAUGCAGCAACGCCGCGUGAGCGAUGAAGGCCUUCGGGUCGUAAAGCUCUGUCCUCAAGGAAGAUAAUGACGGUACUUGAGGAGGAAGCCCCGGCUAACUACGUGCCAGCAGCCGCGGUAAUACGUAGGGGGCUAGCGUUAUCCGGAAUUACUGGGCGUAAAGGGUGCGUAGGUGGUUUCUUAAGUCAGAGGUGAAAGGCUACGGCUCAACCGUAGUAAGCCUUUGAAACUGGGAAACUUGAGUGCAGGAGAGGAGAGUGGAAUUCCUAGUGUAGCGGUGAAAUGCGUAGAUAUUAGGAGGAACACCAGUUGCGAAGGCGGCUCUCUGGACUGUAACUGACACUGAGCACAA
rnacentral:rRNA from 1 species